AUAUCCAACAGGGACUCCAAUCAAGAUUCUCCCGCCCCUUCCAUCAGUGCCGUCCAAUCAUUUCACGACUAAUAAUAAGGCCAAACAUUACCUACCUAAACGGAGGGACAGGCCCAGAUUCUCAUUAAUAGAAAUACGAGUUAGCGGAAGAUUUCCUCCAAGCUACGGUUCGGACAAUUGCGAAUUCAAGACUUCAGUGAGAACCAGUCUGCAUAGCGUCUGCCUGCGCCAUGUCACCGCGACUGUAAACAACAGAAUAUCAAGUACUGCAAAAUGGAGUCCAACACCGACCAGUUUCAUUUAUCUUAAAACAGACGACGAAGAAUACUUAUCACUGCAUCAGAAGCUGAGAAGGUCGGAAGAAUCUGGUGAUUCUAUGACAUCAAAUCUUUGGAAACUCAUUCAUUAUGAAGUUGGCAGUUUUCAUCAAGCCACUGCAUGGCAAUAGGCAGCUCUAAUUGAUCAGGCAAGGCAUGGUAAGCCAUCUCAUUUGACUGGUCAGACCCUAUGCCUGUCACCACUGCUUAGUAAUGCAUGUAUUUGGAGGUAUUUUAGCAUGUACAGAGAGGUCAGACUGCUGCAGUUUGUUGACAUAAUUGAUGACGGCAACGCUGAAAAUGGGUGAACAUCAAUAUUUUAAAUCACUGCAUAUUUUUAAAUUAUUUUGAUAAAAUCACCAUUAUCAUUUCUAAAACGCUUUCAUUCAUUAUAACAAAUGUUUCCCUUUAAUAUCACCAUGUAAUUAUGCGAGUAGUUCAAAUUAUCACAAAACAAGAAGGUGGUUUUACACUGUGUAAAGUGCGAUAGGGCACCAUGGCUGCACCAGCACUAUGCAUGAGCACCUGAAGAGAAAAUGCACAGGAGCUGUUCUGGACGAUGGACGCAAAAGCACUAAGUGCUGUCUAUUCAUGUCUAUUGUAUUAGCAUUAGAAUGGAGAGCUUUUUAAUACAUGUUGUCCUUGUAGCUGUUAAAUACAAUCAUUAUUAAAGCCAACCUUGCUACCUUAGAAUUUCCAUUGAAUAAGUGUUUGUGAAAAUGUUUAGGCUAAAAUCUGGGCUUAUUCUACAUUGAUUGAAGGUGCCAGUGUGUGUCCGUGCGUGUUUGGCUUGUUGCAACCAGUGUAGUUAUCGUAGACUAAAAAUGAAAUGAAAAUGGACUCUAAAUAAAAGAAAAUAAUUAGUGAACUGAAAUAAAAACGAAAGC